rnacentral:rRNA from 1 species
AGCGAACGCUGGCGGCAGGCCUAAUACAUGCAAGUCGAGCGCACCUUCGGGUGAGCGGCGGACGGGUGAGUAACGCGUGGGAACGUGCCCUUUGGUACGGGAUAACUGAGGGAAACUUCAGCUAAUACCGUAUGUGCCCUACGGGGGAAAGAUUUAUCGCCAUGGGAGCGGCCCGCGUUGGAUUAGGUAGUUUGUGAGGUAAAGGCUCACCAAGCCUACGAUCCAUAGCUGGUCUGAGAGGAUGAUCAGCCAUACUGGGGCUGAGACACGGCCCAGACUCCUACGGGAGGCAGCAGUAGGGAAUCUUGCGCAAUGGGCGAAAGCCUGACGCAGCCAUGCCGCGUGAAUGAUGAAGGUCUUAGGAUUGUAAAAUUCUUUCACCAGGGAAGAUAAUGACGGUACCCGGAGAAGAAGCCCCGGCUAACUUCGUGCCAGCAGCCGCCGUAAAAC